UACGUAGGGGGCUAGCGUUAUCCGGAUUUACUGGGCGUAAAGGGUGCGUAGGUGGUUUCUUAAGUCAGAGGUGAAAGGCUACGGCUCAACCGUAGUAAGCCUUUGAAACUGGGAAACUUGAGUGCAGAAGAGGAGAGUGGAAUUCCAUGUGUAGCGGUGAAAUGCGUAGAGAUAUGGAGGAACACCAGUGGCGAAGGCGGCUUCCUGGUCUGUAACUGACACUGAGGCGCGAAAGCGUGGGUAGCAAACAGGAUUAGAUACCCUGGUAGUCCCUGA
rnacentral:rRNA from 1 species